AUGAGAGUGUCACACCCAGGGGCUGGCUAUGCUUUGACUAAGCCACACCCCUUCUCAACUUCCACCUCGAGGAGGUCCCCAAAGCCAACCCAAUGGCCAAACAACACGAGAACAAGUAUCAACUUAGGCACAAUAGCACAGUUAGUUUGCUUUGAAUGGCUCUCACCUCUGGGCUGGACACAGCGUACUGUAAGUACAGGUUCCCUCUGGUUCUCCUUGUGUUACUCACUCUCUCUUUCCUUUCCUCUCCACAGGUAUCAACUUGGACACAAAGCACAGUUACUCUGCUUUGGAUGGCUUUCACCUCUGGGCUGGACACAGCGUACCGUGCUAUCUCCGGAGAUCUGAAGCACGCUCACAACAUAUACUGUACUGAACUAGGCUAGGACCAGCAGUCUCCUUGUCCUCCCGCGACGAAGUGCGUGAAGGCGGGGGUUUAUCUGACAGGACACACGGCAAUACACAGCAGCCCACAGCAAUAUACAACACCACGUCAAAAUUAUAGGUUUUCACAGCACGAAGACUCACCCACCACACUCAGUGUACGAAAAGGACACCCGUCUUCCUUCACUUCGCUUGGUUCGGAUCUGGCGAUGGAAUAUGCGGCCUAGCUAGUGAUGUCGUCGUUGUGACUACUUCAAUAAGUAUUCCUUCGGCUCUCCCACCACGCUAUAUUAGGGGUAGGGCCGCCCUCCUCCUCCUGGAGAGAUCUACACAAUGCCAGGUCAAUAUACAGGGCACUUUCGACUGGCUCUUAGUACUCACAUCAAUGCCGCUUCCAAUCCCCUUUUUCACGUCGUCUCAGUUCGCCGUAUAAUCCGUUCACUUCUCAACCUUUAAGGUUCGCGAUGUCUUCACAAUCAUACAAUUCCAGCCUGAGGGAGAGAGAGUUAGACAGCCACCAGCAGCGCACCAAGACGGGCACAACACAGUGCUUCACACACACCAGAAAGAGCUCCCAGACUGUAAAAUAACUUGGCCUUAAGUACUGCCUUGUCCAGCGUAUCCUCCAAUCACCAACCGCUGUCCCUAACUAGGCACAGGUGCAUCGAAUUCCCUGAUUUUCCUUCUUACGGCGCUACCGGAAGUUCCGGUGUUCUGUUUUUCCGGUCCGGGCGGAAACACUUCCGGGCGGAACCAAACUUCCCGAAUUUUGGUUCCGCCCCUAAAGAUCGUCACCUUGUGACAAGAGCACAGAUUAUUAUGUUGUGCACAUGAUUUACUUAAAAUGAGGGAACGAAUUAGUAAACCAUUUACUUUUUCCCCCUG
ensembl:lncRNA